AGGAGAAUCGCUUGAACCUGGGAGGUAGAGGUUGCGGUGAGCCGAGAUCUUGCCAUUGCACUCCAGCCUAGGCAACGAGAGCGAAACUCCGUCUCAAAAAAAAAAAAAAAAAAAUUAGCCUGGCGUGGUGGAGCGCACCUGUAAUCCCAGCUACUUGGGAGGCUGAGGCAGGAGAAUCGCUUGAACCUGAGAGGUGGAGGUUACAGUGAGCCAAGAUGGCGCCACUGCCCUCCAGCCUGGGCAUAAGAUUGAGACUCCGUCUCAAAAAAAAAAAAAAGAUUUAUGAUCUUAGAAUAGACAAGUAUUUUUUAAAUAGGACAUAGAAAGUGCUUACCUUAAAGGAAAAGAUGGAUAAACUGGACUGUAUUAAAAUUAAGGGCUUCUGUUCCUCAAAAGACAUCAUUAAGAGAAUGAAAAAGCAAGGCACGGCAUGGAAGAAGACAGUAACAAAAACAACUCCAAAAACAUACUAAAUAAAGACGCUUAGAAAUCGGUAUCAAAACGACAUCCCAACAGAAAACCGGGCAAAAAGUGUGCAUGUAACAACAGAGAUAUCCAAAUGUUCAAUAUAUUACAAAGUGCUUAACCUCAUUAGUAAUCAGAGAAAUGCAAACUCAAGCCAGAAUUAAACCUCCUACAUACCCACCUACAUACCCACCAGCAUCACUGUAACUAAACAAUGAUCAGGCUGAUAUAGUGGCUCAUGCCUGUAAUCUCAGUGCUCAGAGAGGCUGAGGCUGGAGGAUCGCCUGAGACCAGGAGUUCCUGACCAGCCUGGGCCAUGUAGUGAGACUCCAUCUCUACCAAAAAAUAAUAAUAAAUAAAUUAAAUUACCCAGGCAUGGUGACACACACUUACAGUCCUAGCUACUCAAGAGGCUGAGGUGGGGCUGGUGGCUCACGCCUGUAAUCCCAGCACUUUGGGAGGCCAAGGCAAAGUUGGGAGGCAAGAUGAACUGAGGUCAGCAGUUCGAGACCAGCCUGGCCAUCAUGGCCAACCCCGUCUCUCCUAAAACACAAAAUUAGCCAGGUGUGGUGGUGGGCGCCUGUAAUCCCAGCUACUCGGGAGGCUGAGGCAGGAGAAUCACUUCAACCCGGGAGGCAGAGGUUGCAGUGAGCUGAGAUCGCGCCACUACACUCCAGCCUGGGCAACAAGAGUGAAACUCCAUCUCGAAAAAAAAAAAAAAAAAGAGGCUGAGAUGGGAGGAUCAUUUGAGCCCAGGAGUUUAAGAAUGCAAUGAACUAUUACCAUGCUACUGCAUGCUCACCAGAGUGAUAGAGUGAGACCCUGUCUCUCUAGGAAAAAAAAAAAAAGUGAUCUUAUCCAACGUCAGUGAGGAUGUGGAGUAGCUGGAACUCUCAAACCCAGCUGAUAGGACUGUAAAAUAGUACAACUCAUUUAAAAAACUUUUAUAGUUUAUCUACUGUUCAUCUCUAAUGACCCAGUUAAUUACUUAUAAAUGCACACAUGUAUAUGCCAAAAUACAUGUCCAAGAAUAUUCGUAACAUUAUUUGUAACAUCCAAAACAUGAAAAUACUCCAAUGUCCAUCCACAGAACAGUGGUAUACAAUUGCCACAGAAUACUACAUAGCUAUGAAAACACGCUAUUAUCACAAUGACAUGGAUUCAUACCACAAACACGCUGACAGAUAAAACUCCAGAAAAUACUGUAUGAUUCCAUUUCUAUCAAAUUCAGAAACUACCAAGACUAACUGAAGUUGAUAAAACACUAGUUUCCAUUUUGGGGGUAAGAGAGUAAACACUGGGAGGGGGUCAUAACGGGGUCUUAUAGGAUGCUGGUCCUGUUCUAUUUCUUGAUGUGGGCGGUGGUUAAAUGGUGCAUUCCCUUUGUGAAAAUGCAUGAAGCUAUACACCUUUGGUUUGGUUUAUGUUUCUACGUUACACUUGAGUAAAAGUUUACUUUAAAAAUACAGGAACAGCAUACAAGAACACUUCCAGGCCGGGCGCGGCGGCUCACGCCUGUAAUCCCAGCACUUUGGGAGGCUGAGGUGGACGGAUUGCUUAAACCCAGGAGUUCGAGACCAGCCUGGGAAACAUGGUGAAACUCCAUCUCCACAAAAAAUACAAAAAUUAGCCAAACGCGGUGGUGCACGCCUGUGGUGCUAGCGACUCGGGAGGCUGAAGCAGGAGGAUCCCUGGAGCCCAGGAUGCUGAGCAGGCCGGCUACCUCCAGUCCAGCACAGUGAACUGGUGCUACAAGGGCCAACCCAGGCUCUGCCCCAAAGCAGGAGCUGAGACCGUUUCCUAGAAGGCAGGCCCACUGGAAAUGUCUCCACCAAAAGCAGCUACAAACGAAUAUGACCUUCAGGUAUUAAGGCUUUGGUUCUCUAGAAAACUGUCACGGCACUGAGGUAACUUGACAACCCAUAAUCGCUGUUCUCCAUGUAAACUGUGGCUCUAUUUGUCCAAGGUGAAGUAUCGUAAAUUGAAAUGAAGUACUCAAUUGUAAAUUUUUUUUUUAAAUUUCCAAAUUAAGCUAAAUUAAAAAAACAAAAAUUGCCAAAACCUUAACCUACAAAAUAAACUUUUUGGACAGUAGCCACCUGAGCUCUAAAUAAUUGUAUCAUUUAUAUUUCAAAUCUAAUACACUGGUGA
rnacentral:lncRNA from 1 species